rnacentral:rRNA from 1 species
UCUUCCGCAAUGGGCGAAAGCCUGACGGAGCAACGCCGCGUGAGUGAUGAAGGUCUUCGGAUCGUAAAACUCUGUUGUUAGGGAAGAACAAAUUUGUUAGUAACUGAACAAGUCUUGACGGUACCUAACCAGAAAGCAACGGCUAACUACGUGCCAGCAGCCGCGGUAAUACGUCGGUGGCAAGCGUUAUCCGGAAUUAUUGGGCGUAAAGCGCGCGUAGGCGGUUUCUUAAGUCUGAUGUGAAAGCCCACGGCUCAACCGUGGAGGGUCAUUGGAAACUGGGAAACUUGAGUGCAGAAGAGGAGAGUGGAAUUCCAUGUGUAGCGGUGAAAUGCGCAGAGAUAUGGAGGAACACCAGUGGCGAAGGCGGCUCUCUGGUCUGUAACUGACGCUGAUGUGCGAAAGCGUGGGGAUCAAACAGG